UAGAGUUUGAUCCUGGCUCAGGAUGAACGCUAGCGACAGGCUUAACACAUGCAAGUCGAGGGGCAGCGGGGCAGGAAGCUUGCUUUCUGCCGCCGGCGACCGGCGCACGGGUGAGUAACACGUAUGGAACCUGCCCGUAGCAGGGGGAUAAACGGAAGAAAUUCCGUCUAAUACCGCGUAAUAACUCCGAGAGGCAUCUCAUGGAGUUUAAAGGGUAACACCGGCUACGGAUGGCCAUGCGGCGCAUUAGCUAGUUGGCGGGGUAACGGCCCACCAAGGCGACGAUGCGUAGGGGUUCUGAGAGGAAGGUCCCCCACACUGGUACUGAGACACGGACCAGACUCCUACGGGAGGCAGCAGUGAGGAAUAUUGGUCAAUGGGCGCGAGCCUGAACCAGCCAAGUCGCGUGAGGGAAGACGGUCCUAUGGAUUGUAAACCUCUUUUGUCGGGGAGCAAAAGACGCCACGUGUGGCGUUCCGAGAGUACCCGAAGAAAAAGCAUCGGCUAACUCCGUGCCAGCAGCCGCGGUAAUACGGAGGAUGCGAGCGUUAUCCGGAUUUAUUGGGUUUAAAGGGUGCGCAGGCGGAAGAUCAAGUCAGCGGUAAAAUUGAGAGGCUCAACCUCUUCGAGCCGUUGAAACUGGUUUUCUUGAGUGAGCGAGAAGUAUGCGGAAUGCGUGGUGUAGCGGUGAAAUGCAUAGAUAUCACGCAGAACUCCGAUUGCGAAGGCAGCAUACCGGCGCUCAACUGACGCUCAUGCACGAAAGUGUGGGUAUCGAACAGGAUUAGAUACCCUGGUAGUCCACACAGUAAACGAUGAAUACUAAUUGUUCGGGGAGAAUGAUCCCUGAGUGAUACAG
rnacentral:rRNA from 1 species